UAAUUCAGUGACUCAAAAAUGGUUUAGUGAUGUAAACUGUGUGCGCGAUCACAUGUGAAGAUUUAAAGACAAGGAAAGAGAAAAGUCUGGUGGUGAUCCAAAGAGAAGAGGCUGGCUGGCUAAAAGUGUGGUGGUGAUCCAAAUGUGAAGAUUUAAAGACGAGGGAGGGCAGGGGAAAGUGGAGGCGGCUUAAACAUGCAAGUUGUAAAACCAUGUCGAAACUGCACUAGAUGCCAUUCGUGCAUUUCGCCUGCGGCCAUUCAUAAAUCCACAAGCUCAUAUUUGUUAUUACUUUCUCUUGUAUGUUUAUAAUAAAAUGUAGAUUAGCUUCCCUUUGUUUAGUUGAAGAAAGAAAACCGCCAAUUUUUUAAGAAAUAUAAACCAAGAAACUCAAGCAAUGU
rnacentral:misc_RNA from 1 species